rnacentral:rRNA from 1 species
UACAGAGGUCCCGAGCGUUGUUCGGAUUCAUUGGGCGUAAAGGGUGCGUAGGCGGUUUGCUAAGUUUGAUGUGAAAUCCCGGGGCUUAACCCCAGGACUGCAUUGAAUACUGGCGGACUAGGGUACUGGAGAGGAAACUGGAAUUUACGGUGUAGCAGUGAAAUGCGUAGAGAUCGUAAGGAAGACCAGUGGCGAAGGCGGAUCUCUGGACAGUUACUGACACUGAGGCACGAAGGCCAGGGGAGCAAACGGG